UCUUUGGUUAUUUAGCUUUCUGA
rnacentral:miRNA from 1 species